AUGUUUGCAGAUGCCACUAUUGCACAAUGCAAAAGAGCUAAGAAAUUAGUGGAGAAAUGCAAAGAUACCACCAAAUUAGAAUAUUCCUUGGUUUCCGACUACCAAUUGGAAUUGAGAACUAACCCAGCUAGCAUUGUUGCUAUCAAACUGGCAGAUGAUGUGAAGGAUGAUGAGCAUGUUUUUGAGAGGUUUUACAUGUGCUUUGGUGCUAUUAAGAAAGGAUUUCUUGCUGGCUGUAGAAAGGUUAUAGGACUAGAUGGAUGUUUCUUCAAAGGAGCUUGAUUUGGUCAGCUACUUGUUGCUUUGGGAAGAUAUGCCAACAAUCAGAUGUACCCUGUAGCUUGGGUUGUAGUCGAAAAAUAAACAUAUGAGUCCUAGUUCUGAUUUGUUGAGAAGUUAAACAGAGACCUCAAAAUCAGCAAUCAAGGGGAUGGGUGGUUGUUCAUCUCAAAUCAGCAAAAAUGACUAAUAUGGGCUAUGGAGGAUAUUCUUCCAAAAGCAGAACACAGGAUGUGUGCAAGGCACAUUUACUCAAACCAGAAGAAAAAACAUAAUGACAAAGGUUUGCAAAAGAGAUUCUGGAGAUGUGCAAAGGCUCCUAACAGGUCUCUGUUCAACUAUAACAAAGCAAGGUUGGCUCAAUUCACAGUUGAAGGAGCAAAUGACAUGAUGAACACGGACCCAAUUCACUGGAGCAUGGUUUACAUGAAAUUUGGAAGCUAUUGUGAUUCAGUUGACAAUAACAUGUGCGAGUCAUUCAACAAUUGUGUGACUCCCCCGAUUCAAUCGUACACUAAUCAUGCACGCAAAUGUGUACGAUCAAGAUCAGGGACUCACGGGAAGAUAUCACAACACAACUCUAAAACAUAA
rnacentral:rRNA from 1 species